rnacentral:sRNA from 1 species
UGCAAGACCAAAGAGGUCAAAGCCCAACGACAGCAACAACACAGAAACAAGAGCAUCAAUUGCACACAAUAGAGUCAUGUCUUCGUU